rnacentral:tRNA from 2 species
GGAUGUGGCUCAGCUUGGUAGAGCGCCUGCUUUGGGAGCAGGAUGCCGCAGGUUCGAAUCCUGUCAUCC